rnacentral:rRNA from 1 species
UACGUAGGGGGCAAGCGUUGUCCGGAUUUAUUGGGCGUAAAGAGCGUGUAGGCGGUUUUACAGGUCCGCUGUGAAAACUCGAGGCUCAACCUCGAGCUGGUCGGUGGAAACCGUAAGGCUAGAGUCCGGAAGAGGAGAGUGGAAUUCCUGGUGUAGCGGUGAAAUGCGCAGACUAUCAGGAAGGAACACCCGUGGCGAAGGCGGCUCUCUGGGACGGUA